rnacentral:rRNA from 1 species
UACAGAGGUGGCAAGCGUUGUUCGGAAUUACUGGGCGUAAAGAGCGCGCAGGCGGCUGUCAAGUCCGAUGUGAAAUCUCCCGGCUUAACUGGGAAACUGCAUCGGAAACUGAUCGGCUUGAAGGUGGGAGAGGGUAGUGGAAUUCCCGGUGUAGUGGUGAAAUGCGUAGAUAUCGGGAGGAACACCAGUGGCGAAGGCGACUACCUGGCCCAUUCUUGACGCUGAGGCGCGAAAGCUAGGGGAGCGAACGGG